AUCAUAGAGGGAAGGACUGACAGGAGGGUGUGACUACAUGAAAAAAGUAAUACCCUAUAAAUGUUGUAGCCACCUCAGUAUGAAUGGUGUAUUGCUUCAAGAGCUCCAGCUCUGAUGUAGUCAUUUAAGUGAAGUUAGUCAGUGAGCAGAAACAGAAAGAGAGGGAGCGCGUGCUAGUUUGCGGUGUGUUCAGGGGGAUUUCUAGUCCGCAGUGCAAAAGUGUAAGAGUGAGGAAAUGUGUCAAUUACUGGUGAAAAUGCGUGCCGCGCAAAAGGUGGCGGAGCGCAAAAGGUGGCGGAGCGUAAAAGUUAAAGAAAAUAAAUGGAAAGUUUGCGCCUGACGUCAAGCGAUGUGGGAGUUAUUGAAUGACUUGGCCUGAAACGCUUCUCUGUGACCUGGUGGCAACUUGUCUGCAGCUUUCAACUGUAUGCUGAGGCAAAGAUGCUGAAGGAGCGUCAUAUGAGCUGCACCUGUUUUCAGUCAAUACUUUCUGAUGAAGAGGAAGAUGAGGACACAAACUGGAAGGUCCCACCGAGAAACAACAUUCAGGGAGUCCUGGUUGAAAUGUCAGCACAGACAGCUUCAGCCAGGAGAUAGCUGAGUCAGUUCGGGGUCAUGACAUCAUCAUCAUGAGACGGCGAGGCUGAUUGGCGACCGCAGGCAGGAACAGGAGAGGCGUCGCCUUUGAAUGGUGUUUUUCAGCUGCUGGUUCUUGGCAAAAAAAAGUUAGUGCUGCUGUGCUUCCUCAGUGAAUGUUUUCUAGAUUAAUGAAAAAUAAAUCAGUGAGGUUUUAUGUGGCAGUAAGUUCAGUUUUAUUGUCACACAGCCCCGAAUGAGCAUAAAACACCUGCAGGAGGGUGAAGUUUGGUUGAGGAUUUUGUCUUUCCAAAAAUGUUUUCUGGCUUGUGAGCUGAUUACGUGUAAAGUAAUUACAGUGAAGUCAUACUGAUGCUGUUCAAACCCCAGCUGCUGGAGAACAAACAACAUGAACACAGAAGUAAAGGACUAAUCUGUCUCUGCAGUCCAAGCUUUGACAUUAACAGAUAUUAUUUAUGUAUGAUAGAGACGAGCUGAGAAAACAAAUGGAAAGUGCUGAUGUGGGCCCUUUUCUUUCUAAACAAAUAUUAGAAAGGACAGUUCUACCAUAUGUCAGAUAUUUUAGAUUUUCAUUUUCUGAUUUAGACUUUAAAAAAGGCACAAAAGGAGUUGGAAUAAAAAACUUUGCAUGUAAAUCAAAUGUAUGAUAGUGUUAUUUGUUACAUUUUUCUGCUGUUUUUUUGUCUGUAAACACUGAAACACUGACUCUUAUUACCACUGUAACCUGCUCUGUAAUAUAAUGUAAGAUUUACACUAUAAACUUUUUUUUUUUUUUA